UUACGGCCAUAUCAAAUUGAAACACCGGUCCCCGUAAGAUUACCGAAGUUAAGCAAUGUCAAGCCUGGUCAGUACUUAGAUGGGUGACCGUUUGGUAAUACCCGGUGUU